rnacentral:rRNA from 1 species
GACGAACGCUGGCGGCGUGCUUAACACAUGCAAGUCGAACGGAAAGGCCCUGCUUUUGUGGGGUGCUCGAGUGGCGAACGGGUGAGUAACACGUGAGUAACCUGCCCUUGACUUUGGGAUAACUUCAGGAAACUGGGGCUAAUACCGGAUAGGAGCUCCUGCUGCAUGGUGGGGGGUGGAAAGUUUCGGCGGUUGGGGAUGGACUCGCGGCUUAUCAGCUUGUUGGUGGGGUAGUGGCUUACCAAGGCUUUGACGGGUAGCCGGCCUGAGAGGGUGACCGGCGACAUUGGGACUGAGAUACGGCCCAGAGUCCUACGGGAGGCAGCAGUGGGGAAUAUUGCACAAUGGGCGGAAGCCUGAUGCAGCAACGCCGCGUGCGGGAUGACGGCCUUCGGGUUGUAAACCGCUUUCGCCUGUGACGAAGCGUGAGUGACGGUAAUGGGUAAAGAAGCACCGGCUAACUACGUG